GAGACUGCAUCUCMAUUGAUGYGYGCUCGNCCUUAUUCUUUUCAYCCWCAUACACCUYUGUGCACUAUGKKWCGRKUAAAGUCCCCUUAYUYNCACAWACACUAGUUAUAUGCAUGUAUUUUAAUACUCUAUGGAGYAAUGUACAACUUUCAACAACGGAUCUCUUGGCUUUCGCAUCGAUGAAGAACGCAGCGAACGUGCGAAACGUAAUGUGAAUUGCAGAAUUCAGUGAAUCAUCGAAUCUUUGAACGCAUCUUGCGCUCCUUGGCAUUCCGAGGAGCAUGCCUGUUUGAGUGUCGUGAAAUACUCUCAAUUUCAAUCUUUAUUGAUUGGAAUUGGAAUUGGAUGAUGUGUGAAUUGAAUCAUAACUGAUCCUAAAUUCAUUAGCGGUCUGACUUGAUCACMCAAUGUGAUAAGAAAAAGCAUUGUUAAGAUUAAAAGSCAGAUUGCUUCUAAACUUUAACUUCAUGUCAUUUGACCUCAAAUCAGGUAGGACUACCCGCUGAACUUAAGCAUAUCAAUA
rnacentral:rRNA from 1 species